GAACUUUGGAGAAUCCUGAUUAAAUUCAGGUGCCGAAGGGGCAAUGCGAAAGCAGUAAUCUCUCAGGCGAAAGGACAAAGC
rnacentral:ncRNA from 1 species